rnacentral:tRNA from 2 species
GGCCCGUUGGUCAAGCGGUUAAGACACCGCCCUUUCACGGCGGGAACAGGGGUUCGAGUCCCCUACGGGUCACCA